rnacentral:rRNA from 1 species
GAGAGUGGGUAGUCCGCACGAGCGCACCUCACUUUUAGUUGCCAUCAUUAAGUUGGGCACUCUGAAAGAACUGCCAGUGAUAAGCUGGAGGAAGGUGGGGAUGACGUCAAGUCCUCAUGGCCCUUACGUGUUGGGCUACACACGUGCUACAAUGGUAUCUACAACAGGAAGCAAGACUGCGAGGUCAAGCAAAUCCUUAAAAGAUACCUCAGUUCGGAUUGCACUCUGCAACUCGAGUGCAUGAAGCUGGAAUUACUAGUAAUCGUGGAUCAGCGUGCCACGGUGAAUGCGUUCCCGGGUCUUGUACACACCGCCCGUCACACCAUGGGAGUUGGUUCUACCUUAAGGCAAGGUUUUAAACCCUUGACCACGGUAUAGUCAGCGACUGGGGUGAAGUCGUAACAAGGUAGCCGUAGGGGAACCUGCGGCUGGAUUACCUCCUUUCU